rnacentral:rRNA from 2 species
GUGCGAGACCGAUAGCGAACCAGUACCGUGAGGGAAAGAUGAAAAGAACUUUGAAAAGAGAGUUAAAGAGUACCUGAAACUGCUGAAAGGGGACCGGGUCGUUGCCAGUGUCUAUAAUCCUUGGCAUAUUUCAUUGCCGAGCCUGUUUGUUUCGCGCGUGUGUAGCAGUUAGUUCUGCGCUGCGCGUGGAUGUGAGCGGGCGUGGCGGUGCCCUGUGCUUUGGUGGGACGUCAGAGUCAGUUCGUAUGCUGCGGGAAAUGGCCGUGCAGGAGGUAGGUCGGGGGUUCGCCCUCGGCUGUUAUAUCUGUGCGCGCUAGUGGUCGUGGUUGGGACUGAGGUGCCUACAACGUGCUUUUGAGUCUUUGGGUCGCUCUGUGCGCGCGUCGGCGGGAUAGCUUGCUAUGCCGUUGGCGUUUGUGUGUGGAUGGUGUGCUCAUUGCAACUUGUUGCUGUUCGGGACUUUGAA